AUGUCUAGCUUUUGUUUGGGUGUCACCUUUUUACUGCAACUAUGCCACAGCUGUAUUCAGAGCAUGCUACAGCCAGUUCUCGCUUUUAUUUUUGACUGCAUAUUUCUAUUUCAGGAGACCUGCAUAGGAAAAAAAACCCCAGGUGACCAGAAAGACCCUGUCUUAAGUUUUGCACUGUUGCUGUUGGUUACACCCUUCCACGUAAUAUGCAACAUGAAUCUUUGUCUGAUCCCACAUGCCCAGAAAUGGAAGAGAGCCCAGCAAAGAGGACUAAAAGCACAGUUUCUUGGCUUUCUAUCAAUCUCAAUAGGUUGAGUAAGGCUUCUUUGGGAUUUUUCCUUUCAGUUAAUAUUACUUUAGCUAUAGUGCAGUUCCUGUCAGUCCAAAGUCAUGCUACUUCCAAAGGAUGUGAACCAAUUUCCCAAUAAACUUUACCCCUGCUACUGAAGCAGGUUCUCUUAAAUGUAGUAGCAGUGUUCCUUCUGAAUUUUUUACUAUAGCAUUUAUCCAAAUUUAUGCACUCAAAAAAUACAGAAUUCUUCAUUUUCAUUUUAAAAAAUGCUGGAACUUGGCUAGUGUGCAUUCGUAAGAGCUAUUGCAAGCAUAUUUUGCAUUAUUAACAAUAUUGGAUUAAGUACCAAGCUCCUCAGCAGCAGGAAAAAUAUUACACAGAAGAAGCCCUUUCUGGAGUUUGUUAUCAACAUUAGAGAAUUAGAAGCAAUUUGCAAUACUGUCUCACUGUCCAAUAUCACAAAGACUCUCCUGAUUUACCUGAAGACUAUGAGAGUGUUCAUACACAAAAGAAAUAUGGCAUGCUAACACAGCAUAGGGAGUAUUCCUUUGCCCUUUGAAAGUAUCCAGAAAUUUUGCUUUUUACAGUUAUGCUUUUGAUGCUUGGUCAAAAUUUUAAGUACUGCACAGCAUUGUGGCUACUCUUAAAUCCAGGACUACUGAGAGGCAUUGGUUCAGGUCAGCUUCAGGGCAAUUUCAUACUCGUAGGCAAUGACAUUGCUGCUUUAAGAGCUGGCACUGAACUGCCAGGCAAAUAAAAAGCAUGUAUCAUGCUCAAGGAAACACUAGUCCAUGUCCAGAAGAAAUGGAGAAGAAUGCAUCAAGUUAUCACCAUAAAAAUAAAUGACCCAGCCUGAAAAGAUAAUGGAUUUUCUUGUCUUCUUCGGCAAUGAGCCAGUUCUGGAAAAAAACUACAACUGGGCAAAGUGAGGCAGUGACUCAGCAUCAGGAUGUGCAGUCUAAAGAUAGAAGAGUUCUCAUGGGACCUUGUCAUAAUCAGCCACAUUCAUAACUCUGCUGGGCCCUCUGCUAAGUUCAGUACAGCUGAAAGUCGUGCCUUUCUCUCACUCCCAGCAGUGAGGGAUAAUGCAUUUGAACAGGUAUCUAGCAGGAAGAAACCUGUGAGAUAGGCUAGAAAAUGAUGGCCAUCAUACAGUGAAAUCUACUGCAACAGGAAUUGUAUGUGAAAUAGAUACUGAGGAUUAUUUUUUUCUCUAGACUCUGUUCACAGUGCAAGCCAAAGUAAUACUUUUGUUUCCAUGAUGAAAAUUAUCUGGCUAAUAAGUUACAAUAUUUUUAAGAAAGGGCUAAAAUGAAAAUCCUAUAAAAUUCUACCUUGGUGCUGUUAAAAAGUCCAAGGCACUCUAAAACACUAAAAUCCUCUCGAGGCAAUAGUUAAGUUCUAAGAAAUUUUAACAAAUUGAUCUUUCCUUUGCUGACAGAAUAAAAUAAAAGAUUAUUUAGCUGACUAAGGUCUUAAAAUUUUAGUAAGUGUUUUUAUCUCUGCCUAUAAUGAGAUCUAUUUCUUCCAGUAAUGUAAUUAUUGUUAAUGGUUUUUCUGAUACUAAGAAAGGAAACUGAUUUUAGCUGCAGUGGAAUUGUAGUUAUUUAAAACAUUAAAUUCACCCAUUCACAUCAACAGUGACAUGAGACAUUUUAGUUUGUCAUUUAUAACAUUACACAAGCACUUUCAAAAAUCUUCCACACACUAUAUAUUUUUACGACACAUAAAGACAAGAGUAGCUAUGAAAGUAUCCAACUUCUACCAUUACCUCAUGGCAAAAAGAUGGUAUUUCUCUAGAAAAAUGGUAAGAGUCUUUCUAAACAGACAGGUAGAAGGUAUAUGUCAUGAUAGGCUAUAUCAAUUGAUAUUUUAUUUCUGGAGCAUUUCAAGGGUAAAAAUCUGAAGUGCUUAUCCAACCUUCCCUAACAACGUUACCUGUGGGAACACUUGGGGCUAGAAUCAUCACCCCACACUGGUCAGUCUUAACGGGAACCAAAGUCUGAACUGCUGGCUAGAGCUGAGCAUACAAAAUAAACAUUUCCUCUGCUGAGUUUAACACUCAUGUCAUUAGGAGGUCUGCUUUUCUAUAAUAUUCUCAAAAAUUAUUGUUAAGAAUUUUGCAAAAACAAAACGUACACUUACUUAGCAGCAUAUUCACACAAAGCUAAAGCCAUUUUUUUUAAAAAAUACCCAGUUAAUCAAGAAAAUCUCAGAUCAUCCACCCACACAUCAGAACAACUUACAUUGAAAAUAGUACAUUGUAAUGAGUGACUCAUGACUAACUGUAUUCCAUACUGGACACGUAAAAACUGUAUUUGUCAAAAUAAUUAUUACUGUUAAAGCCAUGUUCUCCUUGCUCUGUUUUUAAAAUUCCCUCAUGUGCAGCACAAACACUCCUGCAUUUAAAAGAGUUUAGUUGUCAGAUUUCAAAAGAUCAAAAUAAAAUAAAGUAAAACAAGCCUUUGGAAAUGUUGGCAUUUUAGUAUAUCCAAUAAAAAGACAAAUUCCUGUACUAUACAUAUUUCAUCAAGUGUCAUCAGUGUAUCAAGUGCUUACACAUCUCUUUUCCCAUUUAAAUUUGCAAUAAAAACUUCUACUGACUUCAAUUAGGAAAGUAAGAGGAAUCCAGCCUAAUGUACUGAAAAUCCUGUUGCUAAUUUCCAAACAGUUUAACUGAAAGAGUAUUCAUGGUGCCUACAUAUUACAGGAUAUUAUUUAUUGUAUCAUUUGGUUAUUUUUCAUUUCACUGGUGACAUAGAAGAGACUACACUGUGUUGAGUUGCAGCUGACAUUUAAAUGUUGAUUUUAAACCAUGUAAGAUUUCUUAUUUAAAAGAAAACUUGAAAGUUUGGGGAAAAAAUAAUGCUAUGAAUUAAAUCAAUUUUACUGUCAGUUUUUUCCCCAAAAACAUUUUUUAAAGACUUUCUUU
ensembl:lncRNA